UACGGAGGGGACUAGCGUUGUUCGGAAUUACUGGGCGUAAAGCGCACGUAGGCGGAUUUGUAAGUCAGGGGUGAAAUCCCGGGGACUCAACCUCGGAACUGCCUUUGAUACUGCAAAUCUCGAGUCCGGAAGAGGUGAGUGGAAUUCCUAGUGUAGAGGUGAAAUUCGUAGAUAUUAGGAAGAACACCAGUGGCGAAGGCGGCUCACUGGUCCGGUACUGACGCUGAGGUGCGAAAGCGUGGGGAGCAAACAGGG
rnacentral:rRNA from 1 species